rnacentral:rRNA from 1 species
UGGGGAAUAUUGCACAAUGGAGGGAACUCUGAUGCAGCGACGCCGCGUGAACGAAGAAGGCUUUCGAGUCGUAAAGUUCUUUUAUAUGGGAAGAUAAUGACGGUACCAUAAGAAAAAGCCCCGGCUAACUACGUGCCAGCAGCCGCGGUAAUACGUAGGGGGCUAGCGUUGUCCGGAAUAACUGGGCGUAAAGGGUUCGCAGGCGGAAAUGCAAGUCAGGUGUAAAAGGCAGUAGCUUAACUACUGUAAGCAUUUGAAACUGCAUAUCUUGAGAAGAGUAGAGGUAAGUGGAAUUUUUAGUGUAGCGGUGAAAUGCGUAGAUAUUAAAAAGAAUACCAGUGGCGAAGGCGACGUACUGGGCUCAUUCUGACGCUGAGGAACGAAAGCGUGGGUAGCAAACAGG